AUGAUAUUUUUGGGUUCUGUGUGUUUUCUUCUUCUGGCUUCUAUCUUCAACUGCUUCACAAACGCAGGUACUCUUAAUUUUAGCUUUUCAGGAAAGCAGAAACCAGCUUCUCAAUUUCCAUGGCUCCACCCAGGAAAUUGGAAAGUCUUGAAGCACUAAAGAAAACCUUUCAAGAAAUUGGAUCACGAUGUAAAAAUACAAGAUUUCUUGGGUUCAAGCAGUCAAACUGUGGAGGAAUUAACUCAUCAAGUAAGGCUUCUACAAAUGCAGCUAACAGAUAUACAUCAGAGACUGAGG